rnacentral:rRNA from 1 species
UACAGAGGUCUCAAGCGUUGUUCGGAUUCAUUGGGCGUAAAGGGUGCGUAGGCGGCGCGGUAAGUCGGAUGUGAAAUCUCGGAGCUUAACUUCGAAACUGCAUUCGAUACUGCCGUGCUUGAGGACUGGAGAGGAGACUGGAAUUUACGGUGUAGCAGUGAAAUGCGUAGAUAUCGUAAGGAAGACCAGUGGCGAAGGCGAAUCUCUGGACAGUUACUGACACUGAGGCUCGAAGGCCAGGGGAGCAAACGGG